rnacentral:rRNA from 1 species
GACGAACGCUGGCGGCGUGCUUAACACAUGCAAGCCGAACGGAAAGGCCCUGCUUUUGUGGGGUGCUCGAGUGGCGAACAGGUGAGUAACACGUGAGUAACCUGCCCUUGACUUUGGGAUAACUUCAGGAAACUGGGGCUAAUACCGGAUAGGAGCUCCUGCUGCAUGGUGGGGGUUGGAAAGUUUCGGCGGUUGGGGAUGGACUCGCGGCUUAUCAGCUUGUUGGUGGGGUAGUGGCUUACCAAGGCUUUGACGGGUAGCCGGCCUGAGAGGGUGACCGGCCACAUUGGGACUGAGAUACGGCCCAGACUCCUACGGGAGGCAGCAGUGGGGAAUAUUGCACAAUGGGCGGAAGCCUGAUGCAGCAACGCCGCGUGCGGGAUGACGGCCUUCGGGUUGUAAACCGCUUUCGCCUGUGACGAAGCGUGAGUGACGGUAAUGGGUAAAGAAGCACCGGCUAACUACGUGCCAGCAGCCGCGGUGAUACGUAGGGUGCGAGCGUUGUCCGGAUUUAUUGGGCGUAAAGGGCUCGUAGGUGGUUGAUCGCGUCGGAAGUGUAAUCUUGGGGCUUAACCCUGAGCGUGCUUUCGAUACGGGUUGACUUGAGGAAGGUAGGGGAGAAUGGAAUUCCUGGUGGAGCGGUGGAAUGCGCAGAUAUCAGGAGGAACACCAGUGGCGAAGGCGGUUCUCUGGGCCUUUCCUGACGCUGAGGAGCGAAAGCGUGGGGAGCGAACAGGCUUAGAUACCCUGGUAGUCCACGCUGUAAACGGUGGGUACUAGGUGUGGGGUCCAUUCCACGGGUUCCGUGCCGUAGCUAACGCUUUAAGUACCCCGCCUGGGGAGUACGGCCGCAAGGCUAAAACUCAAAGGAAUUGACGGGGCCCCGCACAAGCGGCGGAGCAUGCGGAUUAAUUCGAUGCAACGCGUAGAACCUUACCUGGGUUUGACAUGGAUCGGGAGUGCUCAGAGAUGGGUGUGCCUCUUUUGGGGUCGGUUCACAGGUGGUGCAUGGCUGUCGUCAGCUCGUGUCGUGAGAUGUUGGGUUAAGUCCCGCAACGAGCGCAACCCUUGUUCACUGUUGCCAGCACGUUAUGGUGGGGACUCAGUGGAGACCGCCGGGGUCAACUCGGAGGAAGGUGGGGAUGACGUCAAGUCAUCAUGCCCCUUAUGUCCAGGGCUUCACGCAUGCUACAAUGGCUGGCACAGAGAGUGGCGAGCCUGUGAGGGUGAGCGAAUCUCGGAAAGCCGGUCUCAGUUCGGAUUGGGGUCUGCAACUCGACCUCAUGAAGUCGGAGUCGCUAGUAAUCGCAGAUCAGCAACGCUGCGGUGAAUACGUUCCCGGG